AACUUAUCUGUUCCGGUAAGAGUUCACGUAAAUUUCAAAUAUUUCUUCAUUCUCUAGGAUGUUAAGUUCUCCCGUAAUGGCAAUUUACCCUUGCGGUUUAAAUAAAUCCAUCUAAUCUAUAUCAAUAUAUAAUUUAUUAGUGAGUAACUAGAUAUGGACCAAUUUAAUUUGUUCUCACCGGAACAGAUAAGUUUGUGGCACUAUACAUGGGACUCGUUUUAUUUGUGUGAUUCGAUAUAAGCCACAGUGACACUGAAACUUUUCUGCUCUGUGGAAAUAUGUAUUUCAUUCGUUCUUUUUUUUGAAAAUCCCUCAUUUGUGGCUCUUGUUUGUAUUGUCUAUGACAAUUUAAAUGUCACCAAACGUCAAAUUUGAAGAAAAUUUUCGCUGUUUGGUGCGUUCGAGUGAAAUAUUUUGGUAAUAUUACCAUUGCAUUUUUGCAUUGCGCUACCCCAUGGGCUCAUAUUGGCUCAUUAACUACUUUCUUGAGUUUCUUGGACAUCGUCACAUGAAAUAAUAUACGACCGAGCUUGCUCCCGACCAAGCACGAUCAGAUUCCUUGGGAGUUCUUCGGCAGACGAUUUCUAUGCACCGGCUCCAUGAGACGAAGAACAAAACAGCAUGCCACCUGACUGAUGACCCACCCACCGUUUACCCGGCCCCAGGAGCUAGAAGGCCUUGAGACAAAAGCUCGGGCAGGAUCCUGACGGGCGCAAACGAAUAUCAUCUACUAUGCUUGUCCCACGGCCUGACUGAAUAAUAUUUAUAUAAUCAAUGGAAGGAAAAAACAGUAGAACAUUGAAAUUGGCUCGUAAGCAAGACGGAAGAUGGUCAAAACCGGUCAGAAAAUGAUGGCCUAGACACGGUUGGAGAGCUCUUGUUGGCAGAAACCACCUGAAGAUGGUCAGAUGACAUCAGCAACCUUG